UACGUAGGGUGCGAGCGUUGUCCGGAAUUACUGGGCGUAAAGAGCUCGUAGGUGGUUUGUCGCGUUGUCCGUGAAAACUCACAACUCAAUUGUGGGCGUGCGGGCGAUACGGGCAGACUGGAGUACUGCAGGGGAGACUGGAAUUCCUGGUGUAGCGGUGGAAUGCGCAGAUAUCAGGAGGAACACCGGUGGCGAAGGCGGGUCUCUGGGCAACUACUGACGCUGAGGAGCGAAAGCGUGGGGAGCGAACAGG
rnacentral:rRNA from 1 species